AGCGGCAGGCCUAAUACAUGCAAGUCGAGGGGUAACAGGAAGUGCUUGCACUUCGCUGACGACCGGCGCACGGGUGAGUAACGCGUAUACAAUCUACCUCAUACUAGAGGAUAGCCCGAAGAAAUUUGGAUUAACACUCUAUAGUAUCAUUUAAAGACAUCUUUUUAUGAUUAAAGGUUACGGUAUGAGAUGAGUAUGCGUUCUAUUAGUUUGUAGGUGAGGUAACGGCUCACCUAGACUGCGAUAGAUAGGGGCCCUGAGAGGGGGACCCCCCACACUGGUACUGAGACACGGACCAGACUCCUACGGGAGGCAGCAGUAAGGAAUAUUGGUCAAUGGACGAAAGUCUGAACCAGCCAUGCCGCGUGCAGGAUGAAUGCCCUAUGGGUUGUAAACUGCUUUUAUAUAGGAAGAAAAACUUUCUCGUGAGAAAGCUUGACGGUACUAUAAGAAUAAGGAUCGGCUAACUCCGUGCCAGCAGCCGCGGUAAUACGGAGGAUCCAAGCGUUAUCCGGAAUUAUUGGGUUUAAAGGGUCCGUAGGUGGAUAAUUUAGUCAGAGGUGAAAUCCUGCAGCUUAACUGUAGAAUUGCCUUUGAUACUGGUUAUCUUGAGUUAUUAUGAAGUGAUUAGAAUGUGUAGUGUAGCGGUGAAAUGCAUAGAUAUUACACAGAAUACCGAUUGCGAAGGCAGAUCACUAAUAAUCAACUGACACUGAGGGACGAAAGCGUGGGUAGCGAACAGGAUUAGAUACCCUGGUAGUCCACGCCGUAAACGAUGGUCACUAGCUGUUUGGACUUCGGUCUGAGUGGCUAAGCGAAAGUGAUAAGUGACCCACCUGGGGAGUACGUC
rnacentral:rRNA from 1 species